UGGGGAAUCUUCCGCAAUGGACGAAAGUCUGACGGAGCAACGCCGCGUGAACGAAGAAGGUCUUCGGAUUGUAAAGUUCUGUGAUUCGGGACGAAAGGGUAAAUAGUGAAUAACUAUAGACAUUGACGGUACCGAAAAAGCAAGCCACGGCUAACUACGUGCCAGCAGCCGCGGUAAUACGUAGGUGGCAAGCGUUGUCCGGAAUUAUUGGGCGUAAAGCGCGCGCAGGCGGUUUCUUAAGUCCAUCUUAAAAGCGUGGGGCUCAACCCCAUGAGGGGAUGGAAACUGGGAAGCUGGAGUAUCGGAGAGGAAAGUGGAAUUCCUAGUGUAGCGGUGAAAUGCGUAGAGAUUAGGAAGAACACCGGUGGCGAAGGCGACUUUCUAGACGAAAACUGACGCUGAGGCGCGAAAGCGUGGGGAGCAAACAGGAUUAGAUACCCUGGUAGUCCACGCCGUAAACGAUGGAUACUAGGUGUAGGGGGUAUCGACCCCUCCUGUGCCGGAGUUAACGCAAUAAGUAUCCCGCCUGGGAAGUNCGAUCGCAGGAUUA
rnacentral:rRNA from 1 species